rnacentral:rRNA from 1 species
CGCGAAGGCAAGCGGAUCUCUUAAAGCUGUUCUCAGUUCGGACUGCAGUCUGCAACUCGACUGCACGAAGCUGGAAUCGCUAGUAAUCGCGGAUCAGCACGCCGCGGUGAAUACGUUCCCGGGCCUUGUACACACCGCCCGUCACACCAUGGAAGUCUGCAACGCCCGAAGCCGGUGGCCUAACCACUUAUGUGGAAGGAGCCGUCUAAGGCAGGGCAGAUGACUGGGGUGAAGUCGUAACAAGGUACC